rnacentral:rRNA from 1 species
UGACCGCAUUUGGGGGACGAAUAGCUUCGGCUAAUCAUACUUGGCUGUUAUAAUUUAUUCUUUGUAUUUCUAUUGGAAAUAUUUUUAAUAUUUUAUGCAUUUAAUCCUUAUUUGUAGUAGGGUUAAUUAAUUUGCCAUUAAGGUAAUUUUAUUACCGUGGACAAGUAUGAGAUCGAUUUUAUCGAAUAAAGUUCUAGAUAGAAUACUGAUUAUGACAAUUUUCUAUCUAUAUGUCUUGACCAAAAUACGUGCCAGCAGUCGCGGCAAUACGUAAAAGACUAGUGUUAUUCAUCUUUAAUAGGUUUAAAGGGUACCUAGACGGUAUAAUUAGUCCUAAACAGGAUACGGUUAUGACUAGAGUUAUAUAUGAGGAGGUGAGUAUUUAUGGAGUAGAGUUGAAAUUUGUUGAUCCCCUAACGACUGGUAACGGCGAAAGCAACCUUUUAUCUAAUAACUGACGUUGAGGGACGAAGGCUCGGGUCGCGAACAGGAUUAGAUACCCUAGUAGUCCAAGCAGAUAAUUAUGAAUGCCAUGGAUUAGAUACUUUUUAAAAUAAAGUUAUUAUUUAGUCUAUAAAUGAAAGUGUAAGCAUUUCACCUCAAGAGUAAUGUGGCAACGCAGGAACUGAAAUCAUUAGACCGUUUCUGAAACCAGUAGUGAAGUAUGUUAUUUAAUUCGUCAGUACGCGAAAAACCUUACCACAAUUUGAAUAUUAUCUUAAUGAAAGCAUUAUUAGUAAAAUAGUUGUGUUAGUAGUGAGAUAUUACAAGCGUUGCACGGCUGUCUUCAGUUAAUGUCGUGAGAUAUUGGUUAAUUCCAUUAAAUUAACGGAAACCCUUGCUUUAUUUAUCUUUUAAGAAUAAAGCAGUACACCAUUACAACGGAGUUGUUAACAGGGACCAAGACAAGUCAUCAU